rnacentral:rRNA from 1 species
UGGGGAAUAUUGCACAAUGGGCGCAAGCCUGAUGCAGCCAUGCCGCGUGUAUGAAGAAGGCCUUCGGGUUGUAAAGUACUUUCAGCGGGGAGGAAGGUGUUGUGGUUAAUAACCACAGCAAUUGACGUUACCCGCAGAACAAGCACCGGCUAACUCCGUGCCAGCAGCCGCGGUAAUACGGAGGGUGCAAGCGUUAAUCGGAAUUACUGGGCGUAAAGCGCACGCAGGCGGUCUGUCAAGUCGGAUGUGAAAUCCCCGGGCUCAACCUGGGAACUGCAUCCGAAACUGGCAGGCUUGAGUCUUGUAUAGGGGGGUAGAAUUCCAGGUGUAGCGGUGAAAUGCGUAGAGAUCUGGAGGAAUACCGGUGGCGAAGGCGGCCCCCUGGACAAAGACUGACGCUCAGGUGCGAAAGCGUGGGGAGCAAACA